rnacentral:rRNA from 1 species
AACGAACGCUGGCGGCGUGGAUAAGACAUGCAAGUCGAACGCUAAUUGCGGAGUAGCAAUAUUUCGUAGUUGGAGUGGCGCAAGGGUGCGUAACACGUGGGUAAUUUGCCGUGAAGCUCGGAAUAACUCGCUGAAAGGCGAGCUAAUACCGGAUGUGAUAUUUGGGAGGCAUCUCCUAAAUCUUAAAGCUGGGGAUCGUAAGGCCUGGCACUUCACGAUAAGCCCGCGGCCUAUCAGCUAGUUGGUGAGGUAACGGCUCACCAAGGCUAAGACGGGUAGCUGGUCUGAGAGGACGACCAGUCACACUGGAACUGAGACACGGUCCAGACACCUACGGGUGGCAGCAGUCGAGAAUUUUUCUCAAUGGGCGAAAGCCUGAAGGAGCGACGCCGCGUGGGGGAUGAAUGGCUUCGGCCCGUAAACCCCUGUCAUUUGCGAACAAACCUUUCGUGUUAACAGCACGGGAGCUGAUUGUAGCAGAAGAGGAAGGGACGGCUAACUCUGUGCCAG